rnacentral:rRNA from 1 species
GUGUCAGCAGCCGCGGUAAUACGUAGGUGGCAAGCGUUGUCCGGAAUUAUUGGGCGUAAAGGGCUCGCAGGCGGUUCCUUAAGUCUGAUGUGAAAGCCCCCGGCUCAACCGAGGAGGGUCAUUGGAAACUGGGGAACUUGAGUGCAGAAGAGGAGAGUGGAAUUCCACGUGUAGCGGUGAAAUGCGUAGAGAUGUGGAGGAACACCAGUGGCGAAGGCGACUCUCUGGUCUGUAACUGACGCUGAGGAGCGAAAGCGUGGGGAGCAAACAGGAUUAGAAACCCUUGUAGUCC